GCAAAGGUAAGGGAAUUUACCUCCUGAAGAGUGGGGUCAUCACAGAAUUUAUGGACAGAGCUUAAAAUAUGGCUUUGUCGUCUCAUCACUUUCUCGAGAAUCCAGUGAGACACGAGUGAAAGAACAGAACGCACAAAGGCAGUCCUCCUCAGCACAGCGCGCUGGAAAUGUCCCCAAACAACCCAUCCUUUUAUUUCAACUAUUCUUGAAACAUUCACAUCCCUCCUACCUUGAGGCUGCAUUUAAGAGACUCCGAUGACACUCCUGAAACAUUGUAGGCAGUUAAAUGGGACAUUAAAAACAACAGAACAAUCUACUCCUAAGAUAUUUGGAGCCGAGGAAUGUAAUGGCUCGUAAGCUGUCUCCCUUUGGCUAUUACCAUCGUGUCCUGAUUGAUGAAAUUCUAGGCAAUAGCCUUCCCUUCCUGAUCUCGGGACCAUGGAGGGUCUAAUUUGCUUUCAUGACUGCAGCUCUGGGGGAAAACUUAGGACUGAGGGAUCACUCUGGAAUACAGAAGUAGCCAGGGCUUUCUUUUCGCACCGGAUUCUAAGGUGUCAACAGAAUCGUU
rnacentral:lncRNA from 1 species